AACUGGUCCAAAGGAUUCACGGCGUCAAAAACACUUUUGUCCAGGAAAGGUAGCUUUAAUGAUUGGGCUUCUGGGGGAAAUAUUAAGUAAAAAUUAGAAUCCUGUUUUUGGAGACAUUUUGGUUCAAAGAGGACAGUGCUGACUUUGCAUUCUGCUCUAGAACUGUAUGACAUACAUUCCAAAUUCAAAGGGUAGUAACCAGCCUUCCGCCAGAGAAAGGCAACGACAUUGCCAAUUCUUUGCAAGGAUUCUGGGAGCAGUAACCUUCGAGCUCUGUGUAGGCGGCCGGGCUUCCUCUACUGGAGGGCGUGGCUGUGACGGUUAUCUCAUUGGGAAUUCUGAGGUUAUAAUCAAGGAAUUGUGGGUAACUACAGUCACUUCUGCUUCAUGAAAGUGUUGUCAUCAUUUCUUUCAGGAAGUUGAGUGAGGUCUGAGACAGCAAUGUUUUGUUUAGCCUGGAGGUGGCCCUCCUUGUCUUCAAGAAGAGCAUCUGCAGCUAGCAGUGGAAGAUGGGGUUGGGCCCCAGGUGAGUGAGCCUUUUUCGAGUUUGCAGCAUUUGGUCUUGGUGGGUUGAGGAUCUCUUGCAUUUUGUGCGCUCUCUUCCUACUCCAGGACUGACCAGGAAGUUCUGCCAUCUUCUAGGGGUGUGAAAUUGGGAAGUAAUUCAAACUGUAUGUGCCUAGCAUUCCUUUUAUGUAACAUGAGGGGAAUAGAAGUAUCAAACUGAUGCAGUUCAGUGGAGAAUUAAAUGAGGUAGUCACAAGUAAAAGGUGGUAAGUGUGGUUCAUUUUAUUAAUUUUUUUUAAUUUCCCAAGAAGCCCCAGUUACCUGAAAGCUUCUGUGAGCCUGGGAAGGGAUCAGAGUUCCACCUGCAGUGCUAUUUUGUCCCUUUUUUCUGAUCCGUAUAGGAAGCAGGAUGAUUCCUGGAUUCCCUUUUAAAAAAGUGGUGGUGGGGAUGGGGGUGCGGGGGUGGGGCAGGAAUCACUCCAGGCUAUUUUAUUGGGAUGUCCUCUGUGAUUCAUGCAGGAGGGAGACACAGUUCUGAUUUCUUGCAGAUGGUCACAUGAAUGAGGAAAGAAUGACUCUUCAGCUCCUAGAAGCAGAACCUUAACUGAGUAUGACUUAGCAUCCUUCUUCUUGCCGUGUCAUCUCUCUUCUCAGGGCAGAAGAUAUUUACUAAUUAGCACAUUCUGCUACCACAUCUGUGGGAAAAGAGAUGCAGUCUUACUGUGUUGCCCAGGAUGGUCUCAAACUCCUGGCUACAGGCUAUCCUCCUGCCUCUGUCUCCCAAAGUGCUGGGAUUACAAGUGUGAGUCACCAGGCCCGGCCUAAUUGCUUCUUAACCACUUACUAUUCUUUGUUCACUACAGUGUAUACAUAACUGACUGUUUCUUUGGAGCUUCAUUUUGUAAUGAAGGCUCUGGUCACAUGUAAAACUUGUAUUAAAUAAUUUUGCCUCCUGUUCUCCUGU